UCUUGAAAAAGAAGGUGCUUGUGAUAGGUACUACAAAUAGAUUAGACAUUCUUGAUCCCGCUUUGUUGAGGAAGGGUCAUUUUGACAAGAUCAUUCGAGUUGGUUUGCCAUCAAAGGAUGGAAG